rnacentral:rRNA from 1 species
UACAGAGGGUGCGAGCGUUGUCCGGAAUCACUGGGCGUAAAGGGCGCGUAGGCGGUGACUUAAGCGUGUGGUGAAAGCUCGGGGCUCAACCCCGAGUCGGCCGUGCGAACUGGGUCACUGGAGCAUGUCAGAGGCAGGCGGAAUUCCGGGUGUAGCGGUGGAAUGCGUAGAGAUCCGGAAGAACACCGGUGGCGAAGGCGGCCUGCUGGGCAGUAGCUGACGCUGAGGCGCGACAGCGUGGGGAGCAAACAGG